rnacentral:lncRNA from 10 species
UGUUUUUUAUAUGAAGUUAAUAGGAUUUUGGUGGUAAGGUUGGGAAAUUGGCAGCUUGGGAGGGGAGAAGACUCUCAAGGCUGAGAGCAAAGAUAACAGCAAGGCCUAACGAGGAACCUGGCCAGUGAGAGAUUUCCCAGGACAGAAAAUGCCCAUUAGCUGUCAAGACACCAACAAAUCUUCUGUCUAUUGACUGGAGUAUCAGAGGACUUUGAGUAUACCGAUUUACAAGCCACAACCUCUGUGGAAGGACGAGGCUCAGGCGACUUGAAUGCUGCGAUGUCUGGGGAGAACUGUCAUGCUGCUGGUACUCUGUACAAAACCUUAGAUGCUGGUCUCACAGUCUCCCACUAAGCUAUGGAAAGAAAAUAAGACAAUUACAUAAGGCAGAAGAAAGUGAUAUGGACAGGAAGAGGCAUCUGAAAUGAGAGAGGAAAAACCAACCGGGACUUAGAGAUAAGCUGAAAAAAUGAAAUUAAGGAGAAUAAGCCAAAGACGAUGACUUAUUCAUUCAACAAAAUCCCAUGCACUUUUCUAUGUUCCAGGUUCAAGGUACAAACAGAGAUGUGGAAGCCAGGAGACAGUGCGCAGUGGUAUCAGGAAGCUGAGAAAGAAGGAAAGCUUGACUGCCCCUUUGUAUACCAGGCCCUACGGUAUCUGCUUUUACACACUGCAUUUCAUUUAAUCUUUACAAGCCAAUGAAAUGAGCACUGUGAUCGCCAGUUUACAAAUGAAGGCAUGGAGG